UACGAAGGGGGCUAGCGUUGCUCGGAAUCACUGGGCGUAAAGGGUGCGUAGGCGGGUUUUUAAGUCAGGGGUGAAAUCCUGGAGCUCAACUCCAGAACUGCCUUUGAUACUGAAGAUCUUGAGUCCGGGAGAGGUGAGUGGAACUGCGAGUGUAGAGGUGAAAUUCGUAGAUAUUCGCAAGAGCACCAGUGGCGAAGGCGGCUCACUGGCCCGGUACUGACGCUGAGGCACGAAAGCGUGGGGAGCGAACAGG
rnacentral:rRNA from 1 species